AGCAAAAUAGUUGUUGAUACGAA
rnacentral:snRNA from 1 species